rnacentral:rRNA from 1 species
GAUGAACGCUGGCGGCGUGCCUAAUACAUGCAAGUCGAGCGAAUAGAUUAAGAGCUUGCUCUUAUGAAGUUAGCGGCGGACGGGUGAGUAACACGUGGGUAACCUGCCCAUAAGACUGGGACAACUCCGGGAAACCGGGGCUAAUACGGGAUAACAUUUUGAACCGCAUGGUUCGAAAUAGAAAGGCGGCUUCGGCUGUCACUUAUGGAUGGACCUGCGUCGCAUUAGCUAGUUGGUGAGGUAACGGCUCACCAAGGCAACAAUGCGUAGCCGACCUGAGAGGGUGAUCGGCCACACUGGGACUGAGACACGGCCCAGACUCCUACGGGAGGCAGCAGUAGGGAAUCUUCCGCAAUGGACGAAAGUCUGACGGAGCAACGCCGCGUGAGUGAUGAAGGCUUUCGGGUCGUAAAACUCUGUUGUUAGGGAAGAACAAGUGCUAGUUGAUUAAGCUGGCACCUUGACGGUACCUAACCAGAAAGCCACGGCUAACUACGUGCCAGCCGCCGCAGUAA